AUACGGAGGCUGCAAGCGUUAUCCGGAAUCAUUGGGUUUAAAGGGUCCGUAGGCGGACUAAUAAGUCAGGGGUGAAAUCCCACAGCUUAACUGUGGAACUGCCUUUGAUACUGUUAGUCUUGAGUUAUAUGGAAGUAGAUAGGAUGUGUAGUGUAGCGGUGAGAUGCUUAGAGAUUACACAGAAUACCGAUUGCGAAGGCAGUCUACUACAUAUAUACUGACGCUAAUGGACGAAAGCGUGGGGAGCGAACAGGAUUAGAAACCCUUGUAGUCC
rnacentral:rRNA from 1 species